CGGCGUGGGAUUUUUUUGGAAAUUCGCGAAAUUUCGCCACCCGCGCUCCCCGGGCGUGGAAAAUUCGAUCGGCGGAACGGUCUAAAGGAGACGCGCAGCUUUUGCUCAUCAGUCCGAUUUGUGUUGUGAAACAAACAAGGAAUCGUCACAAUGCCUCAGCCGAACGAAGGAACUAGUUUGCUCACUACCUACAUGAUUCUUAUUCUCCUUCUUAUAGCAUUAUGGGUCCUGUAUUCCGGUCUCUUAUAGAAAAUAUGUUAAACAUACUCUCAACACAAUUUAAUAUUCCACAAAUUUAGUUCGACGCAUCUUGUCUCACAUCAUCACUUUCAAUAUGUAGGAAAAUAACACCCCAAAGGAUGUCGUCGGUUUUGUCGGUAUUUCCAUCCCUUGCUAAUUAACGCGAGGCAAUUUAUUUAUAUUUUUAUAAUUGUUAAAAAUUCUAUUUUAGACUAGAUCAUAUUUUUAUGGUUAAGUGUAAAUAAAAUUUGUUGGUUUUUA